CAGCAUGGAGCAGUGAGUUCUCAUUUAGAGACAUAUGCUGCCCCGGCAGGGACACAGAUCUGAGCUGUGCCGGCAGGCAGCAGGUUCCACCACUUCCUGGGUCAACAGCCAAUCCAACUCAUUUGCUCUGCGGUACACGUAAAGUUACGCAGGCACACACCCCUACAUGUGAAUAACAAAUCUUUUUAAAAAGACAAUAGGGUAAAGCAUGUGGCACAAAGUCUCACACGGGCAGCAUUCAGAAACACUGGUCGCUUCAGAAGGCUAAGACCCACUGUUUUAAACCUAUGGCACUGAGUCGGCACCUCAGCUCUUCACGGGACAAUAAGCUAAUAAUUGCCACUAUUAGAAAAUCCAAGGGAGAGUGCAUACUGUCCAUGUUUUCUUUGAUUCCCUUGGACUCAGAACAAUAUCACACACCACCACCUUGUCAACGUGAAUCAACGUGAAGAGCAGGAGGCUCUCACUCUUUACUUACCCGGAAGUAAGGAAGCAUCAGACAUCUGCUGUUAUCUAGCAACGCCGACAUCUGCUACAGAGCUGGAAAAGGCAACCCAUUGCUUCAGAUUCCAAAAAAGUCUCAGCAGCAUCCUAGUUCAGCAGGAAUCAGAGGGAACACAGCAUCUUCCUACCCUACCUGCCUGCUUGCAAAAGAUACCUGGGCUGCCGAGACACCCACACGCUGUCUCAGGGUUGGCAUGGUCUCAGGGUGUCUCUUCCUUAAGUAGGAAGACUAUCCAACGGCAAGAAAGCACCAACAUGUUCUUGUGCUUUCUUCAGUGAUUACCCACUCCCAAGGCAGACUACCACAGGACUCCCGAGUUAGAUUACCUAGUAGCUUCCAGCUCCACGGAAGGGAGACCAUAUACUUGACCAUCCAUACUGGGAGACACAUCAAAGAAGAUAUUAAUUACAUCAGGACAAGAGGCAUAAAUUGAAACUGUCUGGACAAAUCGGUCACCUAACUCAUUAGUCAAAUGAGAGACUGGAGCAGAUAACUCUGGGACCGAUUCCAGAUUUAUUACUCCAUAAUUCAUGAUAACUGGGACAAGUUCAAAGUGUGUGUUCAUUCCAAGUGCAGCAGAGCAGCGUGAGUGAGGUGUGGUCUCCAGGCAUCGAAGCUGGCCCAGAACCAUAUCCAGAUCACAGGCAAAAGGCUGGCACCCAAGCAAAGAGCCCAGGGGGUAUGGCCCACAGGACCAUGUGACCUUAGUCCAAAGGCAUGGGGCUGCAGGAGCCAGACCUCAGAAGGAUUUAUAAUAUCCAGCUGCUCUUGCCACCAGAGCCCCGAGGGUCGACAUCAGUGCUGGGUGAGGACUAUUGACAUUUACAUAUUUCUGGGUCAUAUUCCAAUAUGGCAGGCAGAGACAUUUACACACAGUUCUGUAAUCUUCCAGUCAGCUAUCCAAACAGUCUGUGUGGCUACUGCUAUGCGGCACAAUUUAAAAGAAAAAGGGGGGGCAUUUAUGUUAAUUCACUGUUCCAGUUAAUGAUAAAUUAGUAUACACA